rnacentral:rRNA from 1 species
GUUUACCAAAAACAUGGCUUCGUGUAAUAAUUAAAUGCGAAGUCGGACCUGCCCAGUGAAAUUUUAAACGGCCGCGGUACUCUGACCGUGCAAAGGUAGCAUAAUCAUUUGCCUUAUAAUUGAAGGCUGGAAUGAAUGGUUUGACAAGAAUACAACUGUCUCUUUUUGAUUGUUUAGAAUUUUAUUUUUGGAUGAAAAAGUCCAGAUAUUAUUAAAAGACAAGAAGACCCUAUCGAGCUUUAGAAAAAUUAAUAGGUUUAAUAUAUACUAAUAUAAGUAAAAAGUAUAACUAUUAAAUACUUUGGUUGGGGCAACCGAGGAGUAAAUAAAGCCUCCUUUGUUAUGUAAGUCUUACUUGCGUUGAUCCAGGAGUUUUGAUUAAAGAAAUUAGUUACCGUAGGGAUAACAGCAUUAUCUUUUUUAAGAGCCCAUAUCGAAAAAAAGGUUUGUGACCUCGAUGUUGGACCAGAAUGUCCUAAAGAUGCAGAAGUCUUUAAGGGUUGGUCUGUUCGACCAUUAAAAUUCUACGAUCAGUUCAGACCGG